GACGAACGCUGGCGGCGUGCUUAACACAUGCAAGUCGAACGGACAGGCCCUGCUUUUGUGGGGUGCUCGAGUGGCGAACGGGUGAGUAACACGUGAGUAACCUGCCCUUGACUUUGGGAUAACUUCAGGAAACUGGGGCUCAUACCGGAUAGGAGCUCCUGCUGCAUGGGGGGGGUUGGAGAGAUUCGGCGGUUUGGGAUGGACUCGCGGCUUAUCAGCUUGUUGGUGGGGUAGUGGCUUACCAAGGCUUUGACGGGUAGCCGGCCUGAGAGGGUGACCGGCCACAUUGGGACUGAGAUACGGCCCAGACUCCUACGGGAGGCAGCAGUGGGGAAUAUUGCACAAUGGGCGGAAGCCUGAUGCAGCAACGCCGCGUGCGGGAUGACGGCCUUCGGGUUGUAAACCGCUUUCGCCUGUGACGAAGCGUGAGUGACGGUAAUGGGUAAAGAAGCACCGGCUAACUACGUG
rnacentral:rRNA from 1 species